AUAUAAUGGUUUGCCAAUGAGUGG
rnacentral:siRNA from 1 species